GGGCCUUCGCCUAUUAGCUUCUCAAAAAAAAAACACCUGCCGCGCCGUCGACCUAGCUACCGGAGUUGCUGCUGCGCUCGCCGCCGCCGCGCCGACGACCUACCGGAGUCUCUGCUGGUGGAGGCGUGAGAUGUAAAGGGUGGAGGAGGCACUCAGAUGCUCGAGACACUCUUAGGAUGCAAAUUCCUGUCAUCUUCUGUCCAUGAAUCAAGGUUUCACGUUUCAAAUCUGAAGGGACCUCAAGAUUAAGACUGUGCGGAUCUGAUUCUGUUGAAUAUGCCUCAUGUUUCACCAUUUCUAUGGAUUAGAGCCCAGUUCAAGGGGUUUAACGACUGAUUAAGGCUUAAUUGGUGGUGCACUGGACGUCCAUGUAUAUACGUGCGUUACGGCACGUGUAUGUCAGCAUAUAUAUUUGGCACGGAAGCUUACACACAUACGGAGGUCGUCACUGGUGAUGUACGUAUUUUUGUAUAUGGAUAUUACUUCCAUGUAUCCAUAAUAAGUGUCACUUAUUCGGUACGACUUUGGAUCGGAAGGAGUGGUUUUUUUGUAAGGUGGGACAUAUUAUCUCGCUGGGCUGAGCACCCGAGCUGGGCCGGUUCUUGGUGAUGCAUGUUUUCAUGAGCCGCCAGGACACAGGUCAAAUUUAGGUCUUAAUUAGCUAGCUAGUGGUAAGUAGUAUACUCAGGAUCUGCAUAAAUGGCAGCGUGAAAAUUGCCACCCCGGCGGCCAUCUCGAUCAAAGCAUAUAUAUAUACAUGUAUAUA